rnacentral:rRNA from 1 species
AUUGAACGCUGGCGGCAUGCCUUACACAUGCAAGUCGAACGGUAACAGGUCUUCGGAUGCUGACGAGUGGCGAACGGGUGAGUAAUACAUCGGAACGUGCCUAGUAGUGGGGGAUAACUACUCGAAAGAGUGGCUAAUACCGCAUGAGAUCUACGGAUGAAAGCAGGGGAUCGCAAGACCUUGUGCUACUAGAGCGGCCGAUGGCGGAUUAGGUAGUUGGUGGGAGAAAAGUUUACCAAGCCGACGAUCUGUAGCUGGUCUGAGAGGACGAUCAGCCACACGAGGACUGAGACACGGACCAGACUCCUACGGGGGGCAGCAGUGGGGAAUUUUGGACAAUGGGCGAAUGCCUGAUCCAGCAAUGCCGCGUGCGGGAUGAAGUCCUUCGGGUUGUAAACUGCUUUUGUACGGAACGAAAAGCCCCGGGUUAAUACCCUGGGGUCAUGACGGUACCGUAAGAAUAAGCACCGGCUAACGACGUGCCAGCCGCCGCGGUAA